GAGAGGAAGAGGGCCUCUUGGAGAAGAGGGUUAAAAAGCGGAUGAUGGAGUGGGAUCAAAGAAAUGCAAGCUCGAGGGGAGACUGAGGGUUCGACAGGAGGAAUGGAGGGGACCCCUGAGUCGGCCAAGGGACGUAGAUCCAGGCCACCAGGCCACUGGAGAAACGGGCAUCCAGUCCCGAUCCCGGGAUGAGAACUGGGCCCAGCCAGGGGCCAGGGCUCCCCCUCCAGCCCCGGGAGGCGGGUUGGGGCGACGCGACCUGAGCCCCGAGGCGCGGCUGCGGGAGGGCGCUGCAGAGGAUGCGGGAAGACUCCUAGCCUUCCCUGCGCUCGCGCCCCUCCCCCUCCGCCGAUCCUCCGCCGGUCCUUGAGCUUGGAGACCAAGGCAGAGGACUUCCUGCGGCCUGGGGGUUCGAAGAGUGCAGGAUGGGCCCGAGGGGCGUCAGGUCCUUUAGGGACCUGACGUCACCACCUGGCCUUCCCUUCGGGAGCCACCUCCAGACCAAGACCCUGCCGUGCCUGGCCCAGGGUUUCAGUACCGGUGAAAGCAGGGACUGUGCCCAGGGUCGCCUCCUUUACCUGUCCACAGGCAGCCUAUUGCCCAAAGACUCUGCUCUUCCCUGCAAGUCUGUGCCAAGGGAUGUCUUUGAGCUGUUCCCUACUCUGAGUCACAAGCUUGCAGCUGAUUAAGGCCUCAGGGGAAGACUCCCAUCCCCACACCUUCCCUGGUGCUUUCAAGAAGCAAUUUCAGGCUGACCCAAAUCUGGAUUAUUAAAGCUGAUUUUCAAGCAAACUCUUUCUACAGACUUGUCUGGAGGCAGGAUGGGUGGGAUUUAGACCCGACCAGAGUCUCUGAGACCAUUUCUAAGGCGGGUAAAAGGCAAGGUGGAAUUGCUGCUGGAACGACUGCCCACCCAAGCCUUCAGCUGUGUCUUUUUGGUCCUCCUUCCAUUUGUGGAAGGAAAGUCUUCCCACCAGACGCCAAGAAACCACACAGAGAAUAAUGCACAUU